rnacentral:misc_RNA from 1 species
AACGCACAUUGCGCCCCUUGGUAUUCCGAGGGGCAUGCCUGUUCGAGCGUCAUUAUCACCCCUCAAGCUCUGCUUGGUGUUGGGGCCUGCUGUGAUAGGCAGCCCUUAAAAUCAGUGGCGGUGCCUCUCGGCUCUAAGCGUAGUAAUUCCUCUCGCUAUAGUGUCCAGUGGUUGCUAGCCAGAACCCCCCAUUUUUCAUGAUUGACCUCGGAUCAGGUAGGGAUACCCGCUGAACUUAA